AUGUUGCGUGACAUACGGCAACAUUCCAACACAUCAAAGCUUUCUGAGGGGUUUGAUCUUUCAGAGUGUUCAGCAACAUUCUAAGAGAUCAAAGCUUUACGAGGCUUUCAUCUCUUAGAAUGUUCAGCUAAAGUUUACAGGUGCUUCAUGGAUCAUCACACACUGAACGUUUUUCAUUUGAACAAACGAAACUUGAACGUGAACAGCCAGGAGAGCAGCCCAGCUAACAGCAGCCAGAGCCGACCCAGCCAGGAGGAGAGUCUGUCAGAGGGAAACAGAGACUCACACCAAGAAGGUGACACACAGAGCACAGGUCCAGAAAUCAGGGAGUCAUCUCGCUUAACAGAGCAGAUAGAGGAGCAGAAUGACCAAGAAAAUGAGCCCUGCGAGGAAGGAACGCUUUCACAGACCGACUUGAAUAAAUGCGGAGAUGUGGACAGCCUGGACAACGAGCAGGUGUCCAGCCAAGCUAACACCGGCCAGGAGGAGAGCCUCUCAGAGGGAAGCAGAGACUUACACCAAGAAGGUGACACACAGAGCACAGGUUCAGAAAUCGGGGAGUCAUCACGCUUAACGAGAAUGUCAUCAGCAGAGCAGAUAGAAGAGCUAAAGUUCUUCUUAGUGGAUUCAGUGGAGCUAAAUGAGAGAAUACAUCAGGCCUGGGUGGAGGAGAGAGCAUCCUGUGUCCAACGCAUAGAGCUGCUGUCCCAAGACAUACAAGAGCUUCAGCUGGAGCUGGAGAGGACAAGUGCCUGCCAGGUCCCAACACCAUGCCUCUGCUCGCUUCUCUGUAAGAAAAACAGGGUAGUCACAAAGAAAAACCAAAAGCUCAAAGACAAAUGCAAGAAAAUGAAAGGCCUCAGUCUGGAAACUGUCAAGCUGAAGAUGAUCGUUGAGGAACAGCUGCAGGAGUUGGAUGAAUGUGAGAACAAUCGCAAAAAAAUCCAGGCCUGGAAGUCGGAGAAGAAGAGAAUGUUUGAACGGAUGAAAGAGAAGGAAACACUGCGUAAGAGGCUCGCAGCUUUAGAGGAGGAGGAGGACACUUUGGUUUUAAAGUGUGAAAGAAAAAGGCUUGCACGUGUUCCCUAAGCCAUCAUCCUGCUGAAGAAGCUGGC
rnacentral:lncRNA from 1 species